CGCAGUGGCCCUUCAGGUUGGAUGGUUUCUGUGAUUCCCAGUGGGAAUCACCUCUGGUUCUCGUGCUGCUGUGAUGAGCCCCCUGAUUUGUCUGCAAGCCGAGUUUGUGUCAAGGAAGGAGGUGCAACAGGACAGUUCCCAGCUCUUUUCUAGGCUGUGAGCCUGCCCAGAGCAGGAGGGGAAGGGUUUGAAGGGUUUGUAGCCACCCCUGCAGCCACAGUGGCCAUGGAAAUGCAUCCCAAGUGUGCUGUUCCAGCUGGGAAUAACCCCCUGGCUGUGCCUGCCCCUCCUGUGGCAGGAGCACUUGUACAACAGGGGCUCCAGCCACGUUCUGGAGGAAUCCCCAGGUUCUGGCAGUUGGCUGAUGUGACAGGGGCAGCUUUGAGCGUGGCUGUGCCCAGCUGAUAGUGAGGGAGCAGUGCUGAAACAGCUGCCAUGGGAUCUCUGUGCCUGGGGCCGUUUCCAGCAGGAUGGAGCCGCUGCUGCCCUGUGCAGCUGCAUCCCACCUAUGGCUGUUGGUUUGAUGUGUUUGAAGGGGAAAUUUAGUGGGAAAUGAAGAGAAAAUUAAUUUGUUAGGGGUAGCACGCACCUAACAAAUGUGUUACCUUUGCUCUGUGGUGUGCCUCCCUACAGCUGGGUGUUCUGUUUCCAGGGAAAAUCCCUAAGCUGUACACAGAGGUGGAAGUGAAUUCUCAGCGGGAUCCAUAUCCAAGUGAAAACCCUGGUGCAGUGCCAGAGUCUCCCGGGAGAAGCUCCCUGCAGAUUUCUGCUGCCAGAGUUCCCACCACGGUGAAGCCACCGAAGAACACCAGAGCUGAGGAGCAGGACGGGGAGGAUGGCGAGAGGAGGAAGAGGAGGAGGAAGGCAAGCAAACGGAAAAGAGAAGGGAAAAGCUUGGAAGAAGAGGGCUCCUUGUCCUGUGACAUCAAACUGGACGAGUCCCUGGACCGAACCCUGGAAGAUGGAGCCAAGCAGCACAACCUGACCGUGGUCAACGUCAGGAACAUCCUGCACGUGAGUGUGGUGGCUUUGGAUUCCUCACUCUUGCUCUGUUGGAGUUGUGGCUGCUGAGAAUUUCACAUUUUCUCUGCUGGCAGACUC
rnacentral:lncRNA from 1 species